CAAACAGAGUCAAAUGAAAAUACUAUGGGGAAAAAAUAAAUGGAUGUUCUAAUAGAUGUUUUCAAAUGACAGAAAAAUGAUUAUCUGAAUAUUCAUGUCUAAUAAUAAUGAAAAAAUGGAGGAAAAAAUUAGGUGUCCAUGACUGAUGUUCUCAUCCUCUGCAACAUUUUUGAAGGACUGUUAGAGAAUUUUAAAUAAAGUUUGAUUUUGAAUGAAGCAACACAUCUGCCAGUACCUUCAAGAUGGCUACCAGGUAAGCAGAUCUCUUUAUAUGUCUCCAGUUAAAAGUUAAACCUUCUCUUGUCAGACUUUGUACACGACAGUAUUGAUUAUCAUUACCGAAGGUAAAAGGUAGUUUUCCACAUUUAGAAAAACGUUAGAUUAAAAAUGUUCUAUUAAAAUAGACAGCAUUAAUGUCUAAUUAUGUACAAUGAGUAAGAAAUUGCUUAGUCAUUAUGAUUUCUCUAUUGUUAGCAAAACAUGCUAAGGUCCCUCUUCCUCCACAACACCAUUCUCACUUACCGCUGCAGUUUAAGGCCAGUUGCGGUAGAGAGAACUUCUGUUUCGACAGUCACCAAGUGACAAAAAGAAACCUUUAGCGAAGGCAAACAGAAUUCAGAGAAAAAAUGUACACCAACCCAGAACUGCUGGAAGAGUACAGAAGGAAGGAGAGAGAGGUCAGGGGUUGGAGAGUUUACAGCAAGAGUAAUUAGCAUAUAUAGUCAAUAGGAAGCCUAUGCCCCAUACAGUGUCUAUAGCAAGUCAAUACUCUACAGUGUUUAGAAGUUUACACACACACACACACACACACACACACACACACACACACACACACACACACACACACACACACACACACACACACACACACACACACACACACACACACACACACACACAGUGAGCCAUUCAGUCUCUACUAUAGGAUGACAUGUCCAUAACAGUAAGAUUUUUCCCAUGUUUUGAGACAUGACAAUUUCAUGUCAUGCUUCCUUUCCAUUUCCAGAUAUCAAAAAUGAAAGCAAAAUUGUAAAACCUGGAAAACUCAAGAUCUGACAAAGAAGCAACAUGAAAAGAAGAAAGAACAGUGGGGGGGAACUCAAAGGUAUUACAGAAAAAAAGAAACAGCUAAAAGCUGUAUUGGACAUGACACCAUCAAGCCAGGAAGAUGAUACACUUCAACAUGUUCAAGAAGCAAACUGAAGAAGUUAUUCAAAAUCUUCAAGACAGCCUCCUCAAGAGAACAGCCAUUCUCACUUCAGUAGGUAAAUGUCCCUGCCAUCAACUCAACUCCUAAAAGAAGAGACACCAGGACCAAUGAAGACAUCUACCCCAAAGGAAUCACCCACAAAAUAUCCAGAGAAAUUCAGAAAAAGGGCCAGAUAUUCCGUAAGAGAGCCUUACCGGACACUAUGGCAAAUCUUCAUAGAUUUAUGUCUGAGAAUCCAAGGCACAACCUUUCCAAGGCUCCAUUCUUUAAACUUAAGCCAUUUUGGAUUGGCCAGCGAAGAGUCACAGACAGAGAAACGUGUGCUUGCAAAACGCAUUAUAACUUUGGCUUGAAGAUAAAGAAGCUGCACCAGCUUGGGGGUCAUAGAAACAUCAUCCCCAAUGGACACUGUACAGGCCAGUGUGUGUGGUGAUGAUGACAUGUGCUGUUCUAAUGUUUUUGUAUGUGUUGUUUUUAUGUGUUCUCUGUUUUUAGCCUAUGUAUGUUAUGUACUUUUGAAGCACAGCAAAAUAAAAUUGAUUGAACUUGAA